CCCAUUCAUGCUCUCUGAGGUCUGGCAGGACCAGAGGUGCUAAAAGCUCAGGUCUCCACUGCUUAGUAUUCUCAGAAUGGCCAAAAGGGAGUCAUUUGGGCUGAAUUAUGUUCCCUCUAAGAGUCACCUGCUGAUGAUCUAACCACUGGGACCUCAGAAUGUGGCUGUAUUUGGAGCUCGGGUCCUUUAAAAGGUGAUUGAGUUAAAAUUAGGUCAUUAGGGUGGGCCCUAAUCCAUUUUGACUAUUGUCCUUAUAAGAAGAGGAAAUUUGGACACAAAAAGAGAUACCAGGGGCACACAAAGGAGAGACCAUCUGAGGACAUAGCAAGAAGGCAAUGAUCUGCAAGUCAAGAAGAGACGCCUCAGGAGAAACCAAACCUGAAGACACCUGGAUCUUGGACUUCCAGCCUGCAAUACUGUAAGACCAUAAAUUCCUGUUGUUUAAGCCAACCAGGCUGUGUAUUUUGUUAUGGCAGCUCCAGAAAAUGAACACAGGGAGCAAGAGGGCAUAACCUCAGGGAGCGUCCUUUGAUUUCUCUACCUCCUCCACCCCAGGAAGUCCUCUCCAUUUAGUCCUACCUUUACACUGCAGCUGGCCUUCCGCCAGCUGUGGGGCCCUCCGCCCAUGAUGAAUGCAAACUGACACUCAGAUUCCUCAGCGAUGAACACCGAACACUGUCCACAUUACAAAAUCUCUUCCUUCCCUGACUGUGUUUCCCUCCAGAGAAGACUAGGGUGUGUUCUGGACUAAGGCCACAGACGCAAAUUUUCCCUAGAAGAGCCUGGAAAAGAAGCAGUAAGUCACGGAGCUGCAGUUAAGUUAUAAGAAAACUCACCUGAAAAAACAGCCAGGGGUUUUCACAGGGCAGGCCAAUUACGUAAAGCACAUCUCCACUGUGUGUUGUCUUAAGAUAAUGAGGCUCCUCACCAUCAGCAAGAGCUGGCUGGAAGCAGAGGGAUCAGAACACUUGCUUUUGGAGCCCUGGGCUGCCAUGUAAAGGUUCUAACUACCACAAGAUCACUGGAUGAGCUGCAUACAAGCACUCUGUAGGGCAUUUCUGCUGAGCCUAGCCUUCCAGCAAUUCUCACCAAGUCUCCAGACACAUGAACUACACCAUCUUGGACUCUCCAAAUCAGCCCAUCCACCAGCUAAUUAACAUUGAAUGACUUCUGUCAACACCAUGCAUAAUGCAGAAAACCCACCAGCUGAGCCCUGCCCAAAUCCUUGACCUAAAAAAAAUUAUAAAAUACAAUAAAACAGCUGUUGUUUUAAGCUA
ensembl:lncRNA novel transcript